rnacentral:antisense_RNA from 1 species
ACCUUCAGGGUCCAUAUGAAAGUACGACAUUGCUCACAUUGCUUCCAGUGUUUACUUUUAAUAAGCCAGCUUAAUGUUGGCUUUUUUUU